CAGUCGCCGCGGUAAUACGAAGGGUGCAAGCGUUACUCGGAAUUACUGGGCGUAAAGCGUGCGUAGGUGGUGGUUUAAGUCCGUUGUGAAAGCCCUGGGCUCAACCUGGGAAUUGCAGUGGAUACUGGGUCACUAGAGUGUGGUAGAGGAUAGUGGAAUUUCCGGUGUAGCAGUGAAAUGCGUAGAGAUCGGAAGGAACAUCUGUGGCGAAGGCGACUAUCUGGGCCAACACUGACACUGAGGCACGAAAGUGUGGGGAGCAAACAGGAUUAGAUACCCCGGUAGUCCCUGUCUCUUAUAC
rnacentral:rRNA from 1 species